rnacentral:rRNA from 1 species
AGUGAACGCUGGCGGUAGGCCUAACACAUGCAAGUCGAACGGCAGCACAGUAAGAGCUUGCCCUUACGGGUGGCGAGUGGCGGACGGGUGAGGAAUACAUCGGAAUCUACUUUUUCGUGGGGGAGAACGUAGGGAAACUUACGCUAAUACCGCAUACGACCUACGGGUGAAAGCAGGGGAUCUUCGGACCUUGCGCGAGUGAAUGAGCCGAUGUCGGAUUAGCUAGUUGGCGGGGUAAAGGCCCACCAAGGCGACGAUCCGUAGCUGGUCUGAGAGGAUGAUCAGCCACACUGGAACUGAGACACGGUCCAGACUCCUACGGGAGGCAGCAGUGGGGAAUAUUGGACAAUGGGCGCAAGCCUGAUCCAGCCAUACCGCGUGGGUGAAGAAGGCCUUCGGGUUGUAAAGCCCUUUUGUUGGGAAAGAAAAGCAGCAGGUUAAUACCCCGCUGUUCUGACGGUACCCAAAGAAUAAGCACCGGCUAACUUCGUG